AGUGAACGCUGGCGGUAGGCCUAACACAUGCAAGUCGAACGGCAGCACAGGAGAGCUUGCUCUCUGGGUGGCGAGUGGCGGACGGGUGAGGAAUACAUCGGAAUCUACUCUGUCGUGGGGGAUAACGUAGGGAAACUUACGCUAAUACCGCAUACGACCUACGGGUGAAAGCAGGGGACCUUCGGGCCUUGCGCGAUUGAAUGAGCCGAUGUCGGAUUAGCGAGUUGGCGGGGUAAAGGCCCACCAAGGCGACGAUCCGUAGCUGGUCUGAGAGGAUGAUCAGCCAAACUUGAACUUAGACACGGUCCAGACUCCUACGGGAGGCAGCAGUGGGGAAUAUUGGACAAUGGGCGCAAGCCUGAUCCAGCCAUACCGCGUGGGUGAAGAAGGCCUUCGGGUUGUAAAGCCCUUUUGUUGGGAAAGAAAUCCAGCUGGCUAAUACCCGGUUGGGAUGACGGUACCCAAAGAAUAAGCACCGGCUAACUUCGUGCCAGCCGCCGCGGUAA
rnacentral:rRNA from 1 species